UACGAAGGGGGCUAGCGUUGCUCGGAAUCACUGGGCGUAAAGGGUGCGUAGGCGGCCUUGCAAGUGACGGGUGAAAUCCCUCGGCUUAACCGAGGAACUGCCUGUCAGACUGCAUGGCUUGAGACCGGGAGAGGUAAGUGGAAUUCCGAGUGUAGAGGUGAAAUUCGUAGAUAUUCGGAAGAACACCAGUGGCGAAGGCGACUUACUGGACAAUUGCUGACGCUGAGGUGCGAAAGCGUGGGGAGCAAACAGG
rnacentral:rRNA from 1 species